rnacentral:tRNA from 1 species
GUUUCUGUGGUUGAAUAACAACGACGGCUUUUCGAGCCGUUGGUCUUGGUUAAAGUCCAAGUAGAAAUAA